CACGUGUUACAAUGGGGGGUACAGAGGGCCGCUACCACGCGAGUGGAUGCCAAUCCCCAAAACCUCUCUCAGUUCGGACUGGAGUCUGCAACCCGACUCCACGAAGCUGGAUUCGCUAGUAAUCGCGCAUCAGCCACGGCGCGGUGAAUACGUUCCCGGGCCUUGUACACACCGCCCGUCAAGCCAUGGGAGCCGGGGGUACCUGAAGUGCGUAACCGCGAGGAGCGCCCUAGGGUAAAACUGGUGACUGGGGCUAAGUCGUAACAAGGUAAC
rnacentral:rRNA from 1 species